rnacentral:tmRNA from 1 species
GGGGACGAAAGGGUUCGACAGGGAAGCGCGAACCUGAGGUGCAGGCCGAGGUGCCGCUACCUCGUUAAACUGGCGGCGAAACGCUUAACCGGCGAACGUGAAUUCGCCCUCGCCGCGUAAGUAACGCAGCGACGUCGCCCGCAUGCCUCCCCCCGAUGGGCAGCGGCGCGGCGCCGAACAGUCGGGGUGCGGCGGUUUGACGCCGAUACUAACCGCCCAAGAUCCAUCGGCUGCGUCCGGUGACGCCGGGCCGGCGACGGCCCGCCGGACGAGAAUCAACCGCCGGACAAGCCUGUAGGACCUCAGGGCGGCCCUUCUCUGGACGGGGAGUUCGAUUCUCCCCCGUCUCCACCA